rnacentral:rRNA from 1 species
AGCGAACGCUGGCGGCAGGCUUAACACAUGCAAGUCGAGCGGGCAUCCUUGUGGUGUCAGCGGCAGACGGGUGAGUAACGCGUGGGAACGUGCCCUUCGGUUCGGAAUAACUCAGGGAAACUUGAGCUAAUACCGGAUACGUGCGAGAGCAGAAAGGUUUAUCUGCCGAAGGAUCGGCCCGCGUCUGAUUAGCUAGUUGGUGAGGUUAUGGCUCACCAAGGCGACGAUCAGUAGCUGGUCUGAGCGGAUGAUCAGCCACACUGGGACUGAGACACGGCCCAGACUCCUACGGGAGGCAGCAGUGGGGAAUAUUGGACAAUGGGGGCAACCCUGAUCCAGCCAUGCCGCGUGAGUGAUGACGGCCUUAGGGUUGUAAAGCUCUUUUCUUCGGGACGAUAAUGACGGUACCGGAGGAAUAAGCCCCGGCUAACUUCGUG